CUCUUCAUCAUUCUCAACACUCUCCAGGGGGCGCUCAUCUUCCUCAUGCACUGCCUGCUGUCCAAACAGGUCAGGAUGGAGUAUUACAAUCUGUUUGUCCGAAUGUGUCCACACAAGAAGAAACCCAAACGCAGAACCAGUACCAGCCAGACCAACAGCAGUCAGAAACCUCUGCGGAGCGACGGAAGCACAGCAGAGUCACAGAUGUAAAGCACUUGUCAUGGGCUGAAAAGACACAUAGAGACUUUCUGUGUCAAAUGAAGUCUUUUCACAAGCUUUAAUUCAACAGUACACUUUCACAGACAUCAUCUGAUGAAUACUGCUGAUGCUUGUUCAACACACGGGAUAUGCAUCAUCUGUUACUGGAGACGGAGAUAUAUAAAGGAAAAAAUAUAUUAAAACAAUCUUAGCAUGUUGAUGAGGAAACAAGUGCAGAAAGUGCUGGAAAGUGGACAUGUUGAGGAGCUGACACAAGCAGAGGAAACAAGUGGUCAGCUUAUUAUUCUGUGUUGCGCCUCCCCCUUCAGAUCUGAGAGAGUAUUGCGAGAAUAUGAGCACAUGAAGAGAAAAUCAGCCCAAUAACAAUCAGGUAAAUCGAUCAGAAUGAGCAGAUGACUCAAAACUGGAUUCUAUUAUUAUGUAUAACUUGACACCUCUUUUUUAUCUUUUGGAUAUGUUAUUGCACAUCAGCAAUAUAAUUGAAAAUAAAUAAAAAAGAAUUAUAUAUUUCUAUGGUGAAAUUUUAGUACAUUUUCUGAAUCGUUUAAAAAUAGUUUGAACUUGACAGUAACUAUAAGAACUUAGAUUUCUUAAACAUUUGAGGGCUGACUGUUUAAUGAAUAUGACGCAAUGAAGCAGAAGUUUUACAAGCUGUCACUUGUUUCAGAUGAGAAAAUAUUUUUACAGUGCUAAAUGUUUUUGAAUGAUACGGUUGAAUAA